GCCUGGGUGGCUCAGUGGUUGGGCACCUGCCUUCAGCUCAGGUCGUGAUCCCAGGGUCUGGGAUUGAAUCCCACAUCAGGCU
rnacentral:tRNA from 1 species